GGCUUAUGUGUUUAAAUCUCUCAAAUUCAAUCAAUGAAUAUAAUCUACCAUAAGCUUGCUCUUCAAUCUUAUCUCCAUUACUAACAUAUUACAAGCAAUGCAUGAAUCAAAAGGUCUUAUUUUCCGGUUGUAAUGGGGCUAGGGGUAAGGUGAGGAAAAAGAAAGUAAAAGGAAAGGUUCAAACCAAAGAAAGUAGAGCAUUCUGAAAAAUGAUAUUUCAAACAAGAUAUUCCAUCAAAACACAUAAAUUUUCCAUCUUUAAGCACCAAUGCUUAACUUCUUUUGAUUUCAAGCUCUUUCAACAUAAAACCUUAAGAACAUAAAGGAAUACUUUGUUUUUCUUUUCUUUUCUUUUCUUUUUCUUGUUUGUCACCUUUGGCAACUUUGCCCAUCUUUUCA
rnacentral:lncRNA from 1 species